GCCGGCGGGAGCUGUGCGGAUGAAAGGGGAGCAGAGGGGCGCGAAGGUGAGACCCGGCGCCCCGCGCCCACAGGCGACCCCGGCGAGCUCAAUUAGCGCACGGGCCGCCAGCGCCUCAAAGGCCGCCGCCCGCCGCCCGCCGCCCGCCGCCCGCCGCCCGCCGCCCGCCGCCCGCCGCCCGCCGCCCGCCGCCCGCCGCCCGCCGCCCGCGGGGGUGGGCAGCGCGGGCUGGCGGGGGCGGGGACGGCGCGGGCGGCUCCGGAGGGGAACCCGCCUAAUCACCCAGGAAGGCCCGGGCCGGUCCCCAGAUCACCCCCCAGCGGCCCACCGAGGGCCUUGGACGCCGCCCGCAGCCCGGGCUGGACGGUCGGCCUGCGGGCCCCCCCCUCACACCCUGCAGGGCCUCCGUCCGGGGCCCACCGCAGACACGGAGUGACCUAGCUCAGUGCUCAUCCUCCGGGUGCAAAGCUUAUCGGAAACGGGGGCGAGUGACAGUUCUGCCUUGAAGGGCCGUGGGGAGGCCCAAGGGAGAGUGUCCACACAGGACCAGCAAGGGCCCUGGGCGUGGAAUCACUGGCUGCGCUCUUGUCCCCGAAGAGGACCCGGGCAGAGAUGUCUCCACCACACCGCUGGAGUGACCGCGCCCUCCUCCCGCCUUUCUCUGCCUGCUGCGUGCGCAGGUGCAUGUGUGUGCACACACACACACAGGGUCAUGGAGUCCUCCGCUUCCUGUUCAGAUGUCCCCUGGCCUCUGGAGUUGGGGAGGCCAAGGUCAGCAAGCCCUUCAGGAGAGAAAGUGAACAGUCUCCUUCCCUGGACGGGGUCCAGCCAGCCCAGAAUGGUCUUGUCCUGGGGACAUCCCAGAUCACAGGAGUCACCCCAGCGCCCAGGGAUUCACACCCUCCCAGUCCACCCUUCACCAGGGACUGACCCCAGGAGGGAUGAAAGGCAAGCUCCUCUGCUGGGGGUCAGGGCAAGUUCAAAGGUCACACAGCCCUCACAUCGCCCCCCGAGAUCACGAGUCCCCCGGCCGGAGCGAGACAAAGUGAACCCCUCUUGGAUCGUGGGGGCUGCAGAGACCUGCCUGCAAAAGAAGCGAUUACGUCUCGGUGCUCUUCGUUGUAUUAACCAGGCUUCGCCAGCGGCUCACCAGUAA
rnacentral:lncRNA from 1 species